rnacentral:ribozyme from 1 species
GCAAUUUACACUAGUCGAAACAGACAAAGAAAGAGAACAACAUGAAGAACAAAGAGAAUAAACGAAUGACCGAGUGAAUGAUCUGCGUUCAUGUGUGUCUUCGUGCACUUUUUUGUCCUCCUCUUUCCUUCU